rnacentral:piRNA from 1 species
UAAUAAAAUGGAAGUGUUUACUUUGCCA